rnacentral:rRNA from 1 species
UAGGGAAUCUUCCGCAAUGGGCGAAAGCCUGACGGAGCAACGCCGCGUGAGUGAUGAAGGUCUUCGGAUCGAAAAACUCUGUUAUUAGGGAAGAACAAAUGUGUAAGUAACUAUGCACAUCUUGACGGUACCUAAUCAGAAAGCCACGGCUAACUACGUGCCAGCAGCCGCGGUAAUACGUAGGUGGCAAGCGUUAUCCGGAAUUAUUGGGCGUAAAGCGCGCGUAGGCGGUUUUUUAAGUCUGAUGUGAAAGCCCACGGCUCAACCGUGGAGGGUCAUUGGAAAAUGGAAAACUAGAGUGAAGAAGAGGAAAGUGGAAUUCCAUGUGUAGCGGUGAAAUGCGCAGAGAUAUGGAGGAACACCAGUGGCGAAGGCGACGUUCUGGUCUGUAACUGACGCUGAUGUGCGAAAGCGUUGGGAUCAAACAGG